rnacentral:rRNA from 1 species
UACGUAGGGACCAAGCGUUGUCCGGAAUUAUUGGGCGUAAAGAGCUCGUAGGCGGCCGUUCACGUCGGAUGUGAAAGCUCGGGGCUCAACCCUGAGAGGCCAUUCGAUACGGGACGGCUAGAGGUAGGUAGGGGAAAGUGGAAUUCCUGGUGUAGCGGUGAAAAUGCGCAGAUAUCAGGAGGAACACCAGUGGCGAAGGCGCUUUCUGGUCUGCUCUUGACGCUGAGGCGCGAAAGCUAGGGUAGCAAACGGG